rnacentral:rRNA from 1 species
CCUACGGGUGGCUGCAGUCGAGAAUCAUUCACAAUGGGGGAAACCCUGAUGGUGCGACGCCGCGUGGGGGAAUGAAGGUCUUCGGAUUGUAAACCCCUGUCAUGUGGGAGCAAAUUAAAAAGAUAGUACCACAGGAGGAAGAGACUGCUAACUCUGUGCCAGCAGCCGCGGUAAUCCAGAGGUCUCAAGCUGUGUUCGGAAUCACUGGGCCUAAAGCGUGCGUAGGCUGGUUCGUUAGUCGUGUGUGAAAUGCCCGGGCUCAAACCGCGGACGGAACAUGAUACUGGGAGACUAGAGUAAGGGAGGGGGAACCGGAAUUCCAGGUGUAGCAGUGAAAUGCGUAGAUAUCGAGAGGAACA